ACGAACGCUGGCGGCGUGCUUAACACCUGCAAGUCGAACGGAAAGGCCCUGCUUUUGUGGGGUGCUCGAGUGGCGAACGGGUGAGUAACACGUGAGUAACCUGCCCUUGACUUUGGGAUAACUUCAGGAAACUGGGGCUAAUACCGGAUAGGAGCUCCUGCUGCAUGGUGGGGGUUGGAAAGUUUCGGCGGUUGGGGAUGGACUCGCGGCUUAUCAGCUUGUUGGUGGGGUAGUGGCUUACCAAGGCUUUGACGGGUAGCCGGCCUGAGAGGGUGACCGGCCACAUUGGGACUGAGAUACGGCCCAGACUCCUACGGGAGGCAGCAGUGGGGAAUAUUGCACAAUGGGCGGAAGCCUGAUGCAGCAACGCCGCGUGCGGGAUGACGGCCUUCGGGUUGUAAACCGCUUUCGCCUGUGACGAAGCGUGAGUGACAGUAAUGGGUAAAGAAGCACCGGCUAACUACGUG
rnacentral:rRNA from 1 species